UAUAUCUGCAACAUACACCUGAGUGUAGAUACAAUAGUAUAUGCCUAAUACAUUGCAAACAAGUCACAACACAGAAGAUGUUUUUUGUCUGCUCCAUACUCGUCUUAUAUCUGUGCUCCUUCUGCGCCUCUAACAUAACACAGAAGCCCUCAUUACAGACUUCCGUAAGAAAUGACUUGAAUAUCACCUGUGAACAUGAUGCCCUCGUGGGAACUGCCUAUAUCCAUUGGUAUAGGUUAUCCGCUGGUCAUCGGCCAAUCUAUCUAAUUGGAGACUUUAAGGAUCACGAGACAACAGAUAAGAGGUUUAAGCUGACCUUUGUUGACGGCAAGAAGUCCAACAUACUCCUCAUAAGAGAUAUCAGACCUGAAGACAGUGCUGUGUAUCUGUGUGCUAAGAGUGACACAGAGCUACAAGUGUAUUUCCUGCCUGUACAAUAUGUCAGAAUGCAACUCAUUGAAGUUAUGACGGAUAAAUACAAGCUAAGAUAUAUUUUAGUUUUCAUGGAUCGAGGUAGUAUGCACUUUAGAAAUUAGAACCUCAGUGAACAUGUUAGCAAGCUUUUCACAUCUUGAGAAGGUAUGGGGAAUUCUUUAAUGGGUGGAAUUUUAGUUGAAAAACUGAGCAGCCAUAGAGUCAGCUGUUUAACCACUUACAUACAG